GACGAACGCUGGCGGCGUGCUUAACACAUGCAAGUCGAACGGAAAGGCCCUGCUUUUGUGGGGUGCUCGAGUGGCGAACGGGUGAGUAACACGUGAGUAACCUGCCCUUGACUUUGGGAUAACUUCAGGAAACUGGGGCUAAUACCGGAUAGGAGCUCCUGCUGCAUGGUGGGGGUUGGAAAGUUUCGGCGGUUGGGGAUGGACUCGCGGCUUAUCAGCUUGUUGGUGGGGUAGUGGCUUACCAAGGCUUUGACGGGUAGCCGGCCUGAGAGGGUGACCGGCCACAUUGGGACUGAGAUGAGGCCCAGACUCCUACGGGAGGCAGCAGUGGGGAAUAUUGCACAAUGGGCGGAAGCCUGAUGCAGCAACGCCGCGUGCGGGAUGACGGCCUUCGGGUUGUAAAGCGCUUUCGCCUGUGACGAAGCGUGAGUGACGGUAAUGGGUAAAGAAGCACCGGCUAACUACGUG
rnacentral:rRNA from 1 species